rnacentral:ncRNA from 1 species
CUACGGACUUGAUUGUAUUGAGCCUUGGUAUGGAAAUCUGCUAAGUGGUAACUUCCAAAUUCUGAGAAACCCUGGAAUUAAAAAAAAGGCAAUCCUGAGCCAAAUCCGUGUUUUGAGAAAACAAGGAGUUCUCAAACUAGAAUACAAAGGAAAAGGAUAGGUGCAGAGACUCAAUGGAAGCUGUUCUAACGAAUCGAGUUAAUUACGUUGCGUUGUUAGUGGAAUUCCUUCUAAUUCUAAAUUAGAGAAAGAGGGGUUAUAUACCUUAUACAUUUAAUAAACACGUAUAGAUACUGACAUAGCAAAUGAUUAAUCACAGAACUCAUAUUAUAUUAAAAUUAUAAUAUAGUCUCUUUAUCUUUUUUUAAAUGA